rnacentral:rRNA from 1 species
CUGGGCGUUAAGUUGCAGGGUAUAGACCCGAAACCCGGUGAUCUAGCCAUGGGCAGGUUGAAGGUUGGGUAACACUAACUGGAGGACCGAACCGACUAAUGUUGAAAAAUUAGCGGAUGACUUGUGGCUGGGGGUGAAAGGCCAAUCAAACCGGGAGAUAGCUGGUUCUCCCCGAAAGCUAUUUAGGUAGCGCCUCGUGAAUUCAUCUCCGGGGGUAGAGCACUGUUUCGGCAAGGGGGUCAUCCCGACUUACCAACCCGAUGCAAACUGCGAAUACCGGAGAAUGUUAUCACGGGAGACACACGGCGGGUGCUAACGUCCGUCGUGAAGAGGGAAACAACCCAGACCGCCAGCUAAGGUCCCAAAGUCAUGGUUAAGUGGGAAACGAUGUGGGAAGGCCCAGACAGCCAGGAUGUUGGCUUAGAAGCAGCCAUCAUUUAAAGAAAGCGUAAUAGCUCACUGGUCGAGUCGGCCUGCGCGGAAGAUGUAACGGGGCUAAACCAUGCACCGAAGCUGCGGCAGCGACGCUGAUGCGUUGUUGGGUAGGGGAGCGUUCUGUAAGCCUGUGAAGGUGUGCUGUGAGGCAUGCUGGAGGUAUCAGAAGUGCGAAUGCUGACAUAAGUAACGAUAAAGCGGGUGAAAAGCCCGCUCGCCGGAAGACCAAGGGUUCCUGUCCAACGUUAAUCGGGGCAGGGUGAGUCGACCCCUAAGGCGAGGCCGAAAGGCGUAGUCGAUGGGAAACAGGUUAAUAUUCCUGUACUUGGUGU